rnacentral:sRNA from 1 species
UCAUCUACUUCUGGCGCACAUACUGCGCGCAC